AGCAGCCGCGGUAAUUCCAGCUCCAAUAGCGUAUAUUAAAGUUGUUGCAGUUAAAAGCUCGUAGUUGAAUUUCGGGGUUAGUAGGUUGGUCAUGCCUCUGGUAUGUACUGGUCUCACUGAUUCCUCCUUCCUGAUGAACCUUAAUGCCAUUAAUUUGGUGUUUUGGGGAAUUUGGACUGUUACUUUGAAAAAUUAGAGUGUUUAAAGCAAGCUAACGCUUGAAUACAUUAGCAUGGAAUAAUGAAAUAGGACGUUCGAUCCUAUUUUGUUGGUUUCUAGGAUUGACGUAAUGAUUAAUAGGGAUAGUUGGGGGCAUUAGUAUUCAAUUGUCAGAGGUGAAAUUCUUGGAUUUAUUGAAGACUAACUACUGCGAAAGCAUUUGCCAAGGAUGUUUUCAUUAAUCAAGAACGAAAGUUAGGGAUCGAAGACGAUCAGAUACCGUCGUAGUCUUAACCAUAAACUAUGCCGACUAGGGAUCGGAUGAUGUUAAUUUUUAAUGUACUCAUUCGGCGCCUUACGA
rnacentral:misc_RNA from 1 species